UCUCUCCUUUCAAUUCCAUUAAGAAGCGAGGGGGUGUUGCAGUGAAGUAAAAAUAGGUGUUUCAGUUUUGCACAAAAAUAAACACAUAGGUGCCUCGAGCAAAUUAUUCCUGCAUUAAGAUUUAAUCGUUUACUGAUCUCAUUAUAGUUCUGAUUUUGGGCAAUAGAAUAUUUUCGAUGCCCUUUUUGUUCAACAUGAGAGAGAGCUACUAAACUAUUUCCGAUGCACUGUCGUUCUAACUUUCGUUAAAGGCUACCGGAAUAAAGGCAUGCGGUACGAAAUAAGCGAUGGUUGCAGUGUGUAACUGCCUCGGCCCAAGGAAAAAUGAACUUCAAGGGCAAGCUGAGGGAGCUCCCGGUGAUGGUUAUGUCGUCGAAGAACGUUUUGCUCGCACGGAUAGGUAUUAGCCUAUAUCAAGAUUUUAUUAUUACUAUUAUUAUUAUGAAAUAUAUAUUCCUAUUUUCAGUAUCUAGAUUCUUGUAUAGUGGGAGAUGGUUAGUCUAAUGACAAUGCGGAUGAAUGUUUUACAAAUGGUUUGGAGGGGUAUAAAUAAAUUUCAAGUAGCAGUUAUAUGUUGCUUGAAUUUCUCAUUA